CCGAGCCUUGCUCGCGCCCCUCUUCUUCCCCCGCCGAACUCAUCUGCCCUAACCACUCCUUCCUCAACCGCUGCCGCCGCGGCGGUUUCUCCUCCCCGGGCAUACAAAAUCCUCGGCCAACGGCUUCGCCUCUUCCUUCACCUUCCUGAUUUCCUCUUCUUCCACCCGAGCAAUCACCUUUUUCCAUCGCGUCGCUCCGCCGUCGUCGCCGCACGGAGCAGCACCGACGCCACUGCCACUGCCCUCUCCGACCAUUGUUUUGUCUUCCCCGACAGCCGCUUCUCCCCGACGGUGCCGCAACACACAGACGCCUUCUCUGUUUGUCUUCGCUGUUGAGAUCGAGAACACACUGACGUCGUUCCUCCUCAGCCCUAGCACCGGUUCACUAGCCGUCCAGUGGCAAGAUUUUUCUCCUCUCGCUCUACUGCCUGCACACUUUUCUUCACUGUGGUUCCGUUUUUGUUGUUACCGUGCCCUAGCUAUGAUCGAAGAGUGAAACGCAAGGUACUUCUUGGUUUCCAGCGGCUACCCUAUUUUGGCAGCCACUCGUUGCAGCAGCCGGCAACCCCUUAUUCCGACAGCAACUCCCACCAGCAGCUUCCAUUAUUCCAGCAACUAGAACAAGGCUGUGAUUUGAUCAUCAAAGGAUCUAUUUGGACUGAAAUUGGGCUCGGAUCUUAAUUUAAACGAGAAGAUCGAGCUUUGGGUUGAUUUGGGGCCGUUCAUCAAGAAUAGGAGAGAUCUGGAUCAUCCGUUGAAGAUCUGGCCGAUCCAACUUAAUGGGGAGCAGA